rnacentral:rRNA from 1 species
GAUGAACGCUGGCGGCGUGCUUAACACAUGCAAGUCGAACGGGAAACCUUUUACUGAAGCUUCGGCAGAUUUCGCUGGUUUCUAGUGGCGGACGGGUGAGUAACGCGUGGGUAACCUGCCUUAUACAGGGGGAUAACAGUCAGAAAUGACUGCUAAUACCGCAUAAGCGCACAGGACCGCAUGGUCCGGUGUGAAAAACUCCGGUGGUAUAAGAUGGACCCGCGUUGGAUUAGCUUGUUGGUGGGGUAACGGCUCACCAAGGCGACGAUCCAUAGCCGGCCUGAGAGGGUGAACGGCCACAUUGGGACUGAGACACGGCCCAGACUCCUACGGGAAGCAGCAGUGGGGAAUAUUGCACAAUGGGGGAAACCCUGAUGCAGCGACGCCGCGUGAAGGAAGAAGUAUCUCGGUAUGUAAACUUCUAUCAGCAGGGAAGAUAGUGACGGUACCUGACGAAGAAGCCCCGGCUAACUACGUG